rnacentral:rRNA from 1 species
AACUUUCAACAACGGAUCUCUUGGCUCUCGCAUCGAUGAAGAACGCAGCGAAAUGCGAUAAGUAAUGUGAAUUGCAGAAUUCAGUGAAUCAUCGAAUCUUUGAACGCACCUUGCGCCCUUUGGUAUUCCGAUGGGCAUGCCCGUUCGAGUGUCU